GUACACGCUGUGACUAGCAUAUCAAUAAGCGGAGGAAAAGAAACUAACAAGGAUUCCCUCAGUAACGGCGAGUGAAGCGGGAAGAGCUCAAAUUUGAAAUCUUGAAAGGUCACCUUUCACGAAUUGUAGUUUAAAGAAGUGUUUUCUGUUACGAUCGUAAUAUAAGUUCUUUGAAAUAGGACAUCACAGAGGGUGAGAAUCCCGUCUAUGAUUGCGAUUUGUAGCUUUGUGAUACACUUUCAAAGAGUCGGGUUGUUUGGGAAUGCAGCCCAAAACGGGAGGUAAAUUUCUUCUAAGGCUAAAUAUUGGCGAGAGACCGAUAGCGAACAAGUACCGUGAGGGAAAGAUGAAAAGAACUUUGAAAAGAGAGUUAAAUAGUACGUGAAAUUGUCAAAAGGGAAGCGUUUAACACCAGUGUUGUUUUCUGAAAAUCAACCUCUGUUAGCUUUAUGCAUGUUUGUUUAGACCUAAUCAGCUAUCUUUCAUGUUCUAUUGUUUGCAGUGGUGCACUUUUCAGUUUACAGGUCAACAUCAGUUUUUUUUUACCGUAAAAAAGUUAAAGAAAGGUAGCUCAUGGCUCCGGUCGUGAGUGUUAUAGUCUUUUUCCUAUGCGGUAGGAGAGACUGAGGUCUGCAGUGUAGGCUAUUUGGCUAGAUACUCAGGUGCUAUGUGAUACCAUUUCAUAAACAACUUGUUGAUUAUGUUUUGUCUAUUGCAUACUCGCUUGUACUAUCAUACCUACGCUUAGGAUGUUGAGUAGCGACAUACGCACA
rnacentral:rRNA from 1 species